GGGAAGGGAAGGGAAGGGAAGGGAAGGGAAGGGAAGGGAAGGGAAGGGAAGGGAAGGGAAGGGAAGGGAAGGGAAGGGAAGGGAAGGGAAGGGAAGGGAAGGGAAGAAGCAAAUGCAGGACAGUAUUAAGCAACAUGUUGCAUAUGAGACAUGGGAGGUCAUUACCUGCUUGGUGCUCAGGGAGCUGGAGAAGACAGCAGCACUGCAGUGGGUGACACAAUUUGCUGAGCCUUCCCCAGUGCUGGAAUAAAGGCAAAAUGGCCUUGGGGUCAUCCAGAAAUAGCAGGAGUGAGCAUCAGCUCCCCGUCAGCACCUGCAGCAGGGAAAUAGGAGAUACUUGGGAAGGAGCCUGCAUUGUUCUGGGACGGCAUGAGCAUUUCCAUCACACGGAGGGGUGGUGGGAGCUGUGCUGGGAGCGCUGCCAGCCCCGCAGGAGGCACUCUCCUGCUCACGUCACGAAACAAAAAUGUAAUCAACACAAACGGCGCUGAGGAAAGUAAUUAACCAUCUCCAAAACGCUGGAGAUUGCAGUCAGUUAGCAUAAGACAGGACCUGAGAAGCAGUAGGCAGCGGUGAGAUGAGGCAGGUUGGUAACUGCUGGAUGUUGUGACCUUUUCUGGCUGUCCAGCAGAUGGAUGUGCCAUCCCCACUGCUCCCCACGCUGUCACCUCUUGGUGUCAAACUCAUAGAGGAUGCUGGGGGCUGAGGGGCAGUGGCAGAGGUGUGACACUGUCCUUGUCCUGCCUUGUGCCCAGGUCUCACUCGCAGCAUCUCCCCUCACUGGAAGCUCAGCACGGCGUCAGCAUCAACCAAUUCAAGCUAUCCACAAGCAGAGGGGUGAGUGGUUCCCAUAGAACUGGCUCAGCCACGCUUGGUAUUCAGACUCACACAAAGGGUUGGAGAGAAAACAUUGCUUUUUCAGCAUGUCCAGUCUGAUGGCCUACCUCAUCAUCCACCUGAACACAGAAAUGUUCCCGUUUCAAUUGGAGGUCACUUGGAACAGACACAACCCCAUGGGAAGCAUAGCUCCAGCAUCACCUCCUCCCUUGGACAAGGUGACCAAGGGGCCUUCCAGGGGAUCUCAGCUCACUUCCAGGCUCAGGGCCUACCUCUGCUGACCCUUUGCUUCCUCCCACCUCUCGCGGUGUGUACGUGCCAUCUGCUGGCAAGCUGCAGGAAGGAGAAUGCGCUCAAAACGCCUUUUGCUACGACAGAGCAAAGCAGAGGGGUUGGAGGAGCAGCCAGGUUAAAUUUGGCCAUAUGCACCAAACCUGCACAGCCUACAUCUCAUCUCCCAUCAUAAGAGUUAGUUCCUUACCAGCACGGCUGGUGGUCAACACAUUGCCAUGAGGCUGUUUUCUGCUGGAAGCAGCGAUUUCCCUCUGUUGAGCAUUCUGAUUUCUUGUUGUGAGAGCAGAAAACUCAGAAGCUGCAAGGUCCAGCGUUCAAAACUGCCCUUGUCUUUCAGUUGUGGUUUUAUCCACCUCGUAUUUUCCCAUUCUUUCCUCAUUUCCCCCUUCGCCACUCCCCAUUCCUGCAGUGCAGUGCGGUGAUGGUUCCAUCCAAAAUGAUGCAUGUAGAUUUACAUGCGUUGGGUGUUUUUUUUUUUAGUGCACAAAGUUGGUUGGCAGCACCCAAGUGUGAGCUGCCUUUCUGAAGAUGCAGCAAGAGAAAACAGAGCGAAAUGCAGGAGAUGAUUUUCCAUUUGGUAUCGAGCAGGGAGAAGGCACGUAAAGAGACCCCCACAUAGAGCAGCCGUGCAAGGCCAUGCAUCACUUAUGCCUUGCUUACAGGUAUUAAAUAAGACUUCACUAGAACACAGCUCUGGUGCUGACCCUCUGCAGAUGGGUGAAUUGCACCCUAAAGCAAAUAUAGGGAACUUGUAUUAUUCAACAGCUGCUGCUAAUAGGGUUACUGCAGGCGGAGAUGUUGCCUGUCUCGACUGAGGAGCAGACGCUGGCCUCGGUGACUCCUGUUUGCAUAAUUAUACUGUAAAUUCUGUCCCGCUGUGUCUGUAUAAUUACGUUUUUAAAUAAGAAAAAAAAAGUAUUUAUAUACGUGUGGAGCUUUUUUUUUUCCCACCCAAAGCUUUCAUGGCCAGAUUUUCAAGUAUUUAGAAUUAGGUGUGAUUGCAAAAAAAAAACAAUAACAGAAAAGAAACCAAGGAGUGAUUGGUAUGCAUUUCGUUGGCUAGCAGAAGGAAACCUGCUCCGCUGAAGGCAUUUAGAUGGGAUGCAGCACUCUCCUUCCCUACCAGGGGAAGCCAGCUUUUGUCAUCUACACUGGGAAGGAGAAGGAUAGAAUCUCUGGACCAGCUGGUUUUAAGGUGAGAAGCUUGCAGUAACUGAGGUUGAAAAGAGGUCUUUGGAAGAUCUUCAGAGCCCGGCGCUGCUUGGCUUCCUGCUUUUAUUGAUGACUUCGGGCAUCAAAACAGUAAUGAAGAUUCCAACAGAAAAUAUCUGAUAAAAAUAAAACUCAGGAGAAACUGUGAGCACAAAGGAGAUGGAUGCUUAAGAUCCAACCCAAACCAUUCUCUCCCAUACUCUUCCACUCUACUCUACCGUACUCCGCUCCAUCCUAUUCUACUCCACUCUGCUCUACUCACUCUACUCUGUUCUAUUCUACUCUACUCUUCUCCAUUCUACUCUACUCUACUCUACUCCAUUCUAUCCUACAUUACUCUAUUCAAUUCUACCCUACUCUACUCCAUUCUAUCCUACAUUACUCAAUUCUACCCUACUCUACUCCCUUCUAUUCUACCUACUCCAUUCUACUCUGCUCUACUGUACUCUACACUACUCCAUUCUAUUCUGCUUUACUGUACACCAUUCUACUCCAUUCUAUUCUACUCUACUCCAUUCUACUCCACUCUACUCCAUUCUAUUCUACUGUACACCAUUCUACUCUACUCCAUUCUACUCUACUCCAUUCUAUUCCACUCUACUCCAUUCUAUUCUACUUUACUCUACUCUACUCCACUCUACCAUACUCUGCUGUACUCUACUCUACUCCAUUCUAUUCCAUGAGUAGCAUUACAAACCUGAAAGUGACGAAAAGGGGUAUAAAUUUGAUAGCUCUCUAUACAAUUUGGGUUUGCUUGACAGGUUCUCAGCAGUUGGAAAUGACUGGCAAGAAAAAAGUUUCCAAAUGGGUCACGGGAGAAAGCAAAAACUACGCAGCCGUGGGGCCACGGUGAAAUCAGCAAAAUGAAGGGGGUCAGACUGGAGAUGAACCUGAAUUAUUUUGCUUCAUUGCAGCAGAACAUCUCACAGUGCCUCUCCUCAAUGGCUGCAUCCCAACGACACCCACCUCCUAUUCCCAGGUGAGGAAAACCAAACCAUCCCAUCCUGCACUCCUGCUGCCUGCUUUCCUUCAAGGACUGGAGCAACUGGCAGGGAAAAACUGCGUCCUGCAUUAAUGUCAGCGUCUGCAACUGCAAAAGCAGUUCUCUGCAGCCCUCUAGUGCUCAUUGCAUGCAAACGAAAAACAGAGCUUGCAACAGCCAUGGGGAAAUGGGGCCAGGGCAGCUCGGGCUCACUGUAACUUAGAAUAGAGGCUUUUAUUUGCUAGCAGGACACAGUACCAGCUGUUAUGUACCCAAACAGUUGUAAUGUGUAGGCAGGCUCUGCUCCCCAGGCUGCAUUCCCACCAGAAGCAGCACUGGUGCACAGCAGAACGCGCCAGCCGAGCAAAGGGCACGCAGGUUCUGCAGCACCGACAUCUGCUACAGAAAUGAUGUGACAGCUUCGUCCCAUAGAGCAUCGCCAGGAACGUUCAUCAGAAGUCCCCUUCCCAUCAGUAUUCCUUCUCUCCCUGCCCCUGUGCACGCCUUCAGCCUCCCUUUCUGCAGUGCUACCCAACGGAGGGCCCGAAUUAUGCAGGAAGGCCCCUUUGGAGGAGCAGAGGAGGGAAAGGUGGUGAUGUAUCGUUCCCUUUCCUGGCAGCUUUUUGCCUAUUCGUAUUCAGAUCGUGCUGCAUUACCUCAGUGAUAAAGAUGCACGUGGAGUUGGGAGACCUUCUUCGUGUUUCACUUGGGCCCGAAGUACCCCAUGAUUCAUUAAAAAAAAGAAAACCAACCCUUCUGCCAAAUAACAGAUACCCAAAAUUGCCAGUUAAUUAAACGGAAUACGCUUGCUUUCCGUGCUCCUGAUAAAACCCUGAAACCCAAGCUCUUCUUCCAAAUGGAUUUCUCCCACAAAUCCCCACUUCAACCACAGAAGCUGUCGUCUGUCUGCACGCGAAAUCUUGCUUUACCACCUCUCCUGUCCGUACAGAGACGCCCUGAACAACCUUGUCAUUUCCAUUUCUCAUGCAUUCUCAGUGCUCUGCGUUCUCAGGGUCUGGGAGGUUUCAUUUUCCCAUUGCCAGAGGCUGCUCGUCCCUAUCAGGGCUCACUCCGCCACAUCAAAGGCAGCAGGGAUACAUCAGAGGGAGCAGGAGGGCUGCAGUCCCCUCCGGGGGGGGACCACAGGGAUGCUGCAUGCUCUGAAGCAUCCUAGAGCUUCUGGAAGCAGGUCUGGAUCAGCAAAGCUCCGUUGAGGCUGUGAGAAUCAACGGAGCCCAACCAGCCGAGAUGGUUUGUGAUCCUAAUCUGCAUCUGAGCAUCACUGUGGAGUGAAGCCCUUGUCAAGGUGCCAUCAUGGAAUGGUUUGGGUCAGAAGUGAGACUCAGAGGUCACGGAACCCAUCUCCUCUGCAGUGAACUGGGACACCCACAGCUCAACCCAAGUGCUCAAAGCCUGCUCCAGCCUGGCCUAUAGGAUGAUGCUUUCCUACCUACAAUGUUAGAUAUCUUCUUUUCCUGACCCAUAAGGUGAUGCUUUCCAAAGUCACCCCUCUUCCAGACAGCAGCAGAGAGACAGCCACGUGGUGACAGCCUUCACAGUCUUUGCAGCAUCACAUCUUUGCCCUGGGAGGUGGUGGAGUCACCAUCCCUGGAGGUGUUCAAGAAACAUUCAGGUGUUGAUGACCCUUGAGGUCCCUUCCAACCCAAGCCACUCUGUGUUGUACUGAGGGACGUGGCUUAGUGGGAAAUACGGGCGGUAGGUGGGCAGUUGGACUAAAUGUUCUUGGAGGUCCUUUCCAACAUUGGUGACCCUAUGAUUCCAUCACUGUGUUCCCAUCACAUUACCCAUCACAUUACAGAAAAUGGACACGGGACAACCAGGGAUGCUAAAAAGCUCUGGUUUCCCAAAUGGCAGUGGUUUGUCCCUCAGGUAACCCAAACCCCAGCACUGGGAGGUGGCUUCCACUUGGCUCCAGCCCUACCCAAAGCCUUUAGUUCACCUCCUGUGCCCAAACCUAAGACAGGAAGGAGCCGUGGCACCAGGCUGCACCCCAGAAGAGGGCUGGCAUUCACACGAAGCCAUCUCAAGAGGAGGAAAAUGAAGAUGCAGACGCUCCAAAGGGAGGUCUGUCAGAGCCCAGGGGUUCAGGCUGCUUAACGAAGCAACGCUGGCUGCCAAAGCAGAAUUUCCAACUCUAUGUUUUUCCCAGCUGUGUUUUUCCAGUGCCUACUGCAGGCAGCAGCGUUUCCCUUUGGUGUAAAGCAGGACGAUGAGGGGGGGUUGCUUUGAAACCUUUUGCUUGCAUAGGAAAUGAACUUCUUGAUUCCUGUUGACAUUUGCAGCAAGGUGUAGGUGGCGCUUGUAGCAUUUCUCAGAGCUCCCCGGCUCUGUUUGUUCAGAUCCUUCUCACUCCUGUGAAAUGCGAUAAUACCGAGCGGUGGGUGGAAGGAACAGCGCAAACGGAGCCCUUCAGGAGACAGAAGGGCUCAGAACUGCUCUGCACUGGAAGACAACUCCUUCUGCUCCCAACCACCGACACCAGACCCAACCCCAUCCCUGCAGCUUGUCCCUGGGGGUCGCAGUUCUGCUCUGACCCUGCAGCUAUGGAGAUGGUCCAUUCCUCAUCCCAAUGCUUAAAGAAGCACGGGCAGCUCUUCUCCAUCCUGGUCUCAUCCUUUUGGGACUUUUCUCGGUGGGGUUUCACUUUCCAGGACUAAAAACAACCUGCUGCAGCAGGGAAAUGGGAGAGAGCUGCCCUGACGCCUUCUUGGAAUCAUUCUGCACAGCACUGAUGUGCUCCUUAAUAAAGUGUUGUAAGAGCCUGUGUCACCAAGCAGCCCAAGAGCUGCAAAGCCCAAGUCGCCUGAACUCAUUCAGGUUCCUUCUUGCAACCUCACAAGCCUCAAAUCACGGCAGCCAUUCUCAUAUCUCCUCUUCUGCCCUGGCAGUGGGAAAGGAGCAGAUUUGUGAAGGCUGUAAUAGGGGAUGAAGGGCUCACCCUCCUGUGAGAUGUGGGAUAAUGACACAUCUUGCUGGAUGGGGUGACCAUGGGGUCCUGCUGUGUGGGUGCUCAGGUUUUGUUGGGCAGGGUGGAUAUGGGGUCGUGCACUGUGGGUGCUCAGGUUCUGCAGGGUGGGGUGGAUAUGGGGUCGUGCACUGUGGGUGCUCAGGUUGUGUUGGGUGGGGUGGAUAUGGGGUCGUGCACUGUGGGUGCUCAGGUUGUGUUGGGUGGGUGGAUAUGGGGUCGUGCACUGUGGGUGCUCAGGUUGUGUUGGGUGGGUGGAUAUGGGGUCGUGCAGUGUGGGUGCUCAGGUUGUGUUGGGUGGGUGGAUAUGGGGUCAUGGAGUGUGGGUGCUCAGGUUGUGUUGGGUGGGUGGAUAUGGGGUCGUGCAGUGUGGGUGCUCAGGUUGUGUUGGGUGGGUGGAUAUGGGGUCGUGCUGUGUGGGUGCUCAGGUUCUGCAGGGUGGGGUGGAUAUGGGGUCAUGGAGUGUGGGUGCUCAGGUUGUGUUGGGUGGGGUGGAUAUGGGGUCGUGCAGUGUGGGUGCUCAGGUUGUGUUGGGUGGGGUGGAUAUGGGGUCCUGCUGUGUGGGUGCUCAGGUUGUGUUGGGUGGGGUGGAUAUGGGGUCGCGCAGUGUGGGUGCUCAGGUUGUGUUGGGUGGGUGGAUAUGGGGUCGUGCACUGUGGGUGCUCAGGUUGUGUUGGGUGGGUGGAUAUGGGGUCGUGCAGUGUGGGUGCUCAGGUUGUGUUGGGUGGGGUGGAUAUGGGUUCGUGCAGUGUGGGUGCUCAGGUUGUAUUGGGUGGGGGGUAUAUGGGGACGUGCAGUGUGGGUGCUCAGAUUGUGUUGGAUGGGGUGGAUAUGGGGUCGUGCAGUGUGGGUGCUCAGGUUGUGUUGAGUGGGUGGAUAUGGGGUCGUGCACUGUGGGUGCUCAGGUUGUGUUGGGUGGGGUGGGUAUGGGGUCGUGCACUGUGGGUGCUCAGGUUGUGCUGGGUGGGGUGGGUAUGGGGUCCUGCAGUUUGGUGCUCAGCUCAUUGCCCUGAAUGCAUGGCAUAAACCGUUUUCUCCCCAAUUGGAAAUCCCUGCAAGGGGAAAGCACUGCAGCAGAGGGUUGAAGGGAAAGCAGUGAGCUGCUGCGUGUGAACGAAGCAUGCAGAGCUCCGCCCCAGCUGUGCAUUAGGGCUGAUUAACAUCAAACCGGGACCUUAUCGCAGCCGGAUCGUUGGGGCUGAUUGGCGACUGAUCGCCCAUUGAAUGAGGAGGAGCGUGUCCGGGUUCUCGGGGGUGAUCUGCGAGAACAGCAGAAAGCAAUUAAGGAAGGAAAGCUGCGAUGGUUAUCGGGGAAGUGGGGCAGGGUGAAAGGCAGUCCUGAUGCGAUUGGGAUGGGAAUCCUGCAGGGAGAGUGUUGGCUAAAGGGGGAACCCCUUCUUACUUCUGGGUUUCCUCCCAUCUCCAAGCCCUCGUGCACCCCCGGCCAUCCAUAGGCCUAUAGGGAUGGAUUCUCACUCGUUUGAAGCACUGGGAGGGCACGUUUUGAUGGUUGUAGGGCAGUUUUCAUUCGCAAAGAGCCCAGAAUUGGGGAAGUCGGAACGAAGGGCACAACCUGAGCAUGGCACCAAAGUGGGCUUCGCUUCUGCGUGCUGACCGGCGCUGCAGUUUUGGGCCAAAAGGUGCUGCUUUUGUGACAGCCAGAACUAAAGAGCCUGAAAUCUCCCCCCGUGGCCUUUCUGUUGUUUGCAGUUCAGCUGCUGAACCACGAAUCCCUACCACAGUGCCCAAAUGCACCCCACGGAUGGAGAUGGGAGACGGGGUUCGGCCACCCCUGCGCCCCACAGCCCUGCAGAGGUGGGAUGGGACGAAGGAGCCGAGCGAUCCGCAGCCCGACGGGGAGGUGAGAGGGGAUGUAAAGGACAGGCCGUGCCCUCGGGCUCGGCGGCAGGAGGUGCCCCGUGCCUCAGUUUCCC
ensembl:lncRNA